rnacentral:rRNA from 1 species
GAUGAACGCUGGCGGCGUGCCUAACACAUGCAAGUCGAACGAAGGUAUAUAUAGGAAGUCUUCGGAUGGAAUAUGUAUAACUUAGUGGCGGACGGGUGAGUAACGCGUAAGUAAUCAACCUGUGACACACGGAUAACUGAUAGAAAUGUCAGCUAAUACGAGAUGAACUGUUUAAAUUGGGAAAUGGAAACAGCAAAGCGAAAGCGGUCACAGACGAGCUUGCGUCUGAUUAGCUAGUUGGUGGGGUAAGAGCCUACCAAGGCGACGAUCAGUAGCCGGCCUGAGAGGGUGAACGGCCACAUUGGAACUGAGACACGGUCCAAACUCCUACGGGAGGCAGCAGUGGGGGAUAUUGCACAAUGGGGGGAACCCUGAUGCAGCAACGCCGCGUGAGUGAAGAAGGCCCUAGGGUCGUAAAGCUCUGUCGUAUGGGAAGAAACAAAUGACUGUACCAUACAAGAAAGCCCCGGCUAACUACGUGCCAGCAGCCGCGGUAAUACGUAGGGGGCAAGCGUUAUCCGGAAUUACUGGGCGUAAAGGGUGCGUAGGCGGCUAGUUAAGUCGAGGUUAAAAGGCAGUAGCUCAACUACUGUUGGGCCUUGAAACUAAUUAGCUUGAGUAUAGGAGAGGAAAGUGGAAUUCCCGGUGUAGCGGUGAAAUGCGUAGAUAUCGGGAGGAAUACCGGUGGCGAAGGCGACUUUCUGGACUAUAACUGACGCUGAGGCACGAAAGCGUGGGUAGCAAACAGG